GUAUAUGUAGUAUAAUAUUAAUAUAAUAGAUUUAGGAUCUAUAGAUGUAAUGUAUA
rnacentral:tRNA from 1 species